GAUAUGAAGCAUUAAUAGCAGAGAUUGAGCUGUGGAUGUUCAACAUGAUCUGAUGGAUAGACCAAGACUCAUUGCUAAGGCACAGUAAAUUGCGGUUUCGCCAGGACCACCAGAGACCAGAAAGGAAAAGGGAAGAGUUGUUACCAGUAGCGUGUUGUUUGAUCCAGCUUUAUGGAAAAGCUUCGUUGAAAAAAGCGGUAUCCGUGAAACCGAGCCGGU
rnacentral:lncRNA from 1 species